rnacentral:rRNA from 1 species
UGGGGAAUAUUGCACAAUGGGCGCAAGCCUGAUGCAGCCAUGCCGCGUGUGUGAAGAAGGCCUUCGGGUUGUAAAGCACUUUCAGCGAGGAGGAAGGUGGUGAACUUAAUACGUUCAUCAAUUGACGUUACUCGCAGAAGAAGCACCGGCUAACUCCGUGCCAGCAGCCGCGGUAAUACGGAGGGUGCAAGCGUUAAUCGGAAUUACUGGGCGUAAAGCGCACGCAGGCGGUUUGUUAAGUCAGAUGUGAAAUCCCCGGGCUCAACCUGGGAACUGCAUUUGAAACUGGCAAGCUAGAGUCUCGUAGAGGGGGGUAGAAUUCCAGGUGUAGCGGUGAAAUGCGUAGAGAUCUGGAGGAAUACCGGUGGCGAAGGCGGCCCCCUGGANGAAGACUGACGCUCAGGUGCGAAAGCGUGGGGAGCAAACAGAUUAGAUACCCUGGUAGUCCACGCUGUAAAACGAUGUCGAUUUUGGAGGUUGUGCCCCUUGAGGCGU